rnacentral:pre_miRNA from 1 species
GUAGUACUCCCUCCGUUUCAAAUUACUCGUCACGGAAAUGGAUGUAUCUAAAACUAAAAUACAUCUAGAUACAUCCAUAUCUGCGACAAGUAAUUCGGAACGGAGGGAGUAGUUU